GGUCGCUUAGCUCAGUUGGUUAGAGCGUGGUGCUAAUAACGCCAAGGUCGCGAGUUCGACCCUCGUAGUGUCCA
rnacentral:tRNA from 1 species